rnacentral:rRNA from 1 species
UACGUAGGGGGCAAGCGUUGUCCGGAAUUAUUGGGCGUAAAGAGCGUGUAGGCGGUCCGGUAAGUCAGCUGUGAAAGUCAAGGGCUCAACCCUUGAAUGCCGGUUGAUACUGUCGGGCUAGAGUCCGGAAGAGGCGAGUGGAAUUCCCGGUGUAGCGGUGAAAUGCGCAGAUAUCGGGAGGAACACCGAUGGCGAAGGCAGGUCUCUGGGCCACUACUGACGCUGAGAAGCGAAAGCGUGGGGAGCGAACAGG